UGUUGCUGUCGUUGGAUUCCACUGGAUCAAGACAACUACAACUGACUGAUUUUUUUAAUGGAAAUGGCUCUGCUUAUCAAAUAAAAGGAAUUGAGGGGCUGCAAAUGUAGGAAAGUGGGCCUGUUAAUGUGGGCUUUUUAAGUAUAAAAUGGACAGAUCAAAAGGUGAAAACAAUGUGAAUGUGGGCUUUGAAAAAUAAAAUGGUUGGGUUGCUUUGUAAUUGGGCCUCAUGAAAACUUGGGACUUGGGAGGGCACAGUUCUCAUCUCUUGAAGUGGAGGGCACCGGUUCAGUUCAAACUCCUUCACAGUGGCAACGAUAAGAAAAAACAGAUCCAGAACCUAGGGCAAAGGGUUGACGGCGAAACCUCCGAUGUCGUCGACUGAUGGCGGAACCUGAUGAUACCAUGAUCCUUUCUCCAGUGAUUUGAUCUCCUCCAGCAGCCAUCGAAGUCGCAACGUUGUCGUCGUCGAUCGUCGAUUAAGGCAGUCGUUGUCGAUGGCGGCGUGAUGGGAGUUGAGGAUCGAGGCUCUGAUACCAGUGUUUGAAGCACAGAGAAAAGAAAAGAUGAUAUCUUUGAGGGGGGCUCCGGUAACAGUGGUACUGUUAUUUCUUGGAGGUCUAUUAAGCAGACAAUGUUUACUAGUUGAAACCACUCAGAAAUUGUUCCUCUAUAUGUGCCCCAUGCGAACGUGUAAGGUUCAAAUCGCUGAUAAAACACAUUUGAUGAUCGUGUGGCAUAUUAAAUGAGGAUAUUACCCCCGUUGUCUUUUC